GCGAGAGUGGCGAAACGGCAGACGCGCUGGGUUUAGGUCCCAGUGGGGUUCACCCCCCGUGAGGGUUCGAGUCCCUCCUCUCGCA
rnacentral:tRNA from 1 species